AAAACGUUGGGUCAUUCUAUCGAACCGACUUUGAUGUUACUAACUAUUUUUCUCUAAUUAACACGAUUUUAGUGUUCUUAUGCUGAAAACAACUACCCAAACAACGACCCCUAGAGUGAAUGGGCCUAACUCUAUUUAAACUUCGUCCUUGAUCCCUCAAUAAACUUAGUUUAAACGAGUUGCAUUAAGAUUACAACAUAAUAUAAACUAAAUCACUGCACUCCGUCCCCAGACAUAUAGUUCUCUAGCCUGCUCUAUCAAGUUCUAAGGUUUUAAAGCACUUCCCAGUACUAAAAAUCCUAACUUUAUGUACAAAUGGGUGAUCAAGCCACAAGCAUGCAAUAAAUAAGUGCAGAUAGAAGCAAUGAACACAUAAAAACAUCUUUAAAUAAAU
rnacentral:lncRNA from 1 species